rnacentral:rRNA from 1 species
GUCUGUGGCCAUAUACCCUAAAUGCACCUGAUCUUGUCUGAUCUUGGAAGCUAAGCAGUGUUGGACCACGUUAGUACUCGGAUGAGGUAAGGACUGCAGGGU